GGAGAAGAGAAGAAAGGAUCAGAUUUGACACAUCAAAACAUUGACCAGGAGAGUGACACAGAAGGAAUGGAUGAGGACUCUGUGAGUGACCACAGUUAUGAUUCCAGCGCGGAAGAAAUGUUUUUGGAAGGAAAAGAUCCACUUUUAGACCAUGCCAGGGACUCGGAUGAACAAUGGGAACCCACAAUGUCAAGGUGUCCAUCCC